CAGCGAUGGCCGUGUAGUGGACUGCCAUGGCGUUGACGGGAGCGGGGGAUUAGGGUUCGAUUCCGGAGAGGGAGCCUGAGAAAUAGCUACCACUUCUACGGAGGGCAGCAGGCGCGCAAAUUGCCCAAUGUCAAAAAAAAACGAUGAGGCAGCGAAAAGAAAUAGAGCCGACAGUACCUUUUGGUAUUGUCGUUUUCAAUGGGGGAUAUUUAAAUCCAUCGAAAAUCGAGUAACAAUUGGAGGACAAGUCUGGUGCCAGCACCCGCGGUAAUUCCAGCUCCAAAAGCGUAUAUUAAUGCUGU
rnacentral:rRNA from 2 species